rnacentral:rRNA from 1 species
UACGGAGGAUCCAAGCGUUAUCCGGAAUCAUUGGGUUUAAAGGGUCCGUAGGCGGUUUGGUAAGUCAGUGGUGAAAGCCCAUCGCUCAACGGUGGAACGGCCAUUGAUACUGCCAGACUUGAAUUAUUAGGAAGUAACUAGAAUAUGUAGUGUAGCGGUGAAAUGCUUAGAGAUUACAUGGAAUACCAAUUGCGAAGGCAGGUUACUACUAAUGGAUUGACGCUGAUGGACGAAAGCGUGGGGAGCAAACGGG